AAGCCAGUGGUGAACUCCACAUCCGCAUCCUUUGCUGAGGAUACGGUUAACGGAGCGAAAGCGACGUUCAACCGCAAAACAAGCAGAGGGGGCUUAGUGGUGGGGUGACUGCGUACCUUUUGUAUAAUGGGUCAGCGACUUAUAUUCUGUAGCAAGGUUAACCGUAUAGGGGAGCCGGAGGGAAACCGAGUCUUAAUUGGGCGUUAAGUUGCAGGGUAUAGACCCGAAACCCGGUGAUCUAGCCAUGGGCAGGUUGAAGGUUGGGUAACACUAACUGGAGGACCGAACCGACUAAUGUUGAAAAAUUAGCGGAUGACCUGUGGCUGGGGGUGAAAGGCCAAUCAAACCGGGAGAUAGCUGGUUCUCCCCGAAAGCUAUUUAGGUAGCGCCUCGUGAAUUCAUCUCCGGGGGUAGAGCACUGUUUCGGCUAGGGGGCCAUCCCGGCUUACCAACCCGAUGCAAACUGCGAAUACCGGAGAAUGUUAUCACGGGAGACACACGGCGGGUGCUAACGUCCGUCGUGAAGAGGGAAACAACCCAGACCGCCAGCUAAGGUCCCAAAGUCAUGGUUAAGUGGGAAACGAUGUGGGAAGGCCCAGACAGCCAGGAUGUUGGCUUAGAAGCAGCCAUCAUUUAAAGAAAGCGUAAUAGCUCACUGGUCGAGUCGGCCUGCGCGGAAGAUGUAACGGGGCUAAACCAUGCACCGAAGCUGCGGCAGCGAACGUAUCACCCAAGACAACUUUACGGAGUUGACGAUUGACGGAGCGAAGCGACGUCAAAGCGUUCAUUAAAGUCGAGUUGGCUUAGGGAUACGUUCGUUGGGUAGGGGAGCGUUCUGUAAGCCUGUGAAGGUGUGUCGUGAGGCAUGCUGGAGGUAUCAGAAGUGCGAAUGCUGACAUAAGUAACGAUAAAGCGGGUGAAAAGCCCGCUCGCCGGAAGACCAAGGGUUCCUGUCCAACGUUAAUCGGGGCAGGGUGAGUCGACCCCUAAGGCGAGGCCGAAAGGCGUAGUCGAUGGGAAACGGGUUAAUAUUCCCGUACUUGGUGUUACUGCGAAGGGGGGACGGAGAAGGCUAUGUUGGCCGGGCGACGGUUGUCCCGGUUUAAGCGUGUAGGUGUGUGUUCCAGGUAAAUCCGGUUCACUUUAACACUGAGGCGUGACGACGAGGCACUAC
rnacentral:rRNA from 1 species